CACGUAGGGGGCGAGCGUUGUCCGGAUUCAUUGGGCGUAAAGAGCUCGUAGGCGGUUUGUCGCGUCGGAUGUGAAACCCCGGGGCUUAACCCCGGGCCUGCAUUCGAUACGGGCUGACUAGAGUUCGGUAGGGGAGACUGGAAUUCCUGGUGUAGCGGUGAAAUGCGCAGAUAUCAGGAGGAACACCGGUGGCGAAGGCGGGUCUCUGGGCCUUACCUGACGCUGAGGAGCGAAAGCAUGGGGAGCAAACAGG
rnacentral:rRNA from 1 species